rnacentral:rRNA from 1 species
CAAUAGCGUAUAUUAAAGUUGUUGCAGUUAAAAAGCUCGUAGUUGGAUUUCUGACUUCAAACACCUGACCCUCCCUCGCUAGAGGUGUGUGUGCCGGAGUGUUUGUAUCAUCCUUUCAGUGAUCGGUUCUACCCUUAACCGGGUCGGAACUGUUAACUGGAUCUUUUACUUUGAAGAAAUUGGAGUGUUUAAAGCAGGCUUACGCCAGAACAUAUUAGCAUGGAAUAAUAAGAUAGGACCUCGGUUCUAUUUUGUUGGUUUCUAGAGCUGAGGUAAUGAUUAAUAGGGAUAGUUGGGGGCAUUCGUAUUUAACUGUCAGAGGUGAAAUUCUUAGAUUUUCGGAAGAUAAACUUAUGCGAAAGCAUUUACCAAGGAUGUUUUCAUUAAUCAAGAACGAAAGUUAGGGGAUCGAAGACGAUCAGAUACCAU